rnacentral:rRNA from 1 species
GGCAGCAGCUAAGAAUAUUCCGCAAUGGGGGGAACCCUGACGGAGCGACGCCGCGUGGACGAUGAAGGCCGGAAGGUUGUAAAGUCCUUUUCUGACGGAGGAAGAAGUGCCGGAGGGAAUGCCGGCAUGGUGACUGUAGGUCAGGAAUAAGCACCGGCUAAUUACGUGCCAGCAGCCGCGGUAACACGUAAGGUGCGAGCGUUGUUCGGAAUCAUUGGGCGUAAAGGGCAUGUAGGCGGUCCUGCAAGUCUGGAGUGAAAUGCCGGGGCUCAACCCCGGAACUGCUUUGGAAACUGUGGGACUGGAGUCACCGAGGCGGAGCCGGAAUUCCAGGUGUAGGGGUGAAAUCUGUAGAUAUCUGGAAGAACACCAAUGGCGAAGGCAGGCUUCGAGCGGAUGACUGACGCUGAGGUGCGAAGGUGCGGGGAGCAAACAGGAUUAGAUACCCUGGUAGUCCGCACAGUAAACGAUGCACACUGGGUGUCUGGGCAAGAGCCUGGGUGCCGAAGCAAACACGGUAAGUGUGCCGCCUGGGGAGUAUGCCCGCAAGGGUGAAACUCAAAGGAAUUGACGG